ensembl:piRNA 21ur-508 ncRNA
UAAUUCGUCCUUCAUGGCUGG